AUGUAGGGCAAACUGAAAUGGUUACGUGUUUAUGAAAUGCGUUGACAUUUUAGCAAGUAAAUGUGAUUCACUGCAGUGCAGAGUCUUGACACAGAAUUGAGACCAAGGCUUAUGUGAUCAUAUCAUUGAGUCCAUUUGUGUAAUUGCCAGCAGUGGCUAGAAAUAUUAGCAAUCUCAGGGUCAUAACAUACUCACCGGGGCAGCACAAGGGAGGAUUAUUUUCAUGUGAUGCAAGUGACGACAAGAAUGUUUGUGCAGAGGCAGAAAGGUACAGAGACAGAGAGAGGCAGAAAGGUUCAGAGACAGAGAGGCAGAGAGGCAGAAAGGUUCAGAGACUCAGAGACACAGAGAGAGGCAGAAAGGUGCAGAGACACGGAGAGGCAGAAAGGUUGAGAGACACAGAGAGGCAGAAAGGUGCAGACACAGAGGGCUACAGAGCAAUGAACAGACUUCCAGUUUCAACUCACCCUGGAAACUUUCCUGCGUGCUCUGGGCCGCUUCCCUCGUAUUACUCCCUGCCAGCAGGUGUCCCAGUGAGCGUCCCACCCUAAUGUGUGAAUGAUUGGAAACGGUAGGAGGUGAAGUGGGGGGAUAUGUGCUUUGAGAGAGGAAACCUGCUCUCAGGAUGUGAGGUGGAUUUAACUGCUAUGACAUCCUUUUACAAAUAAACGGUCG
ensembl:lncRNA